UACGGGGGGGGCAAGCGUUGUUCGGAAUUACUGGGCGUAAAGGGCUCGUAGGUGGCCAACUAAGUCAGACGUGAAAUCCCUCGGCUUAACCGGGGAACUGCGUCUGAUACUGGAUGGCUUGAGAUUGGGAGAGGGAUGCGGAAUUCCAGGUGUAGCGGUGAAAUGCGCAGAUAUCGGGAGGAACACCGGUGGCGAAGGCGGUUCUCUGGGCCUUACCUGACGCUGAGGAGCGAAAGCGUGGGGAGCGAACAGG
rnacentral:rRNA from 1 species